rnacentral:rRNA from 1 species
GACCAGCUGGCUGGUUCAUGAGGUGACUUCUGCCCAGUGCUCUGAUUGUCAUUACGAAGAGAUUCAGUAAAGCGCGGGUAAACGGCGGGAGUAACUAUGACUCUCUUAAGGUAGCCAAAUGCCUCGUCAACCAAUUAUUGACGCGCAUGAAUGGAUCAACGAGAUUCCUGCUGUCCCUAGGUGCUGUCUGGUGAACCAACCGCCAAGGGAACGGGCUUGGAUGUGUCAGCGGGGAAAGAAGACCCUGUUGAGUUUGACUCUAGUCUGGCAUGGCACAACGACAUGUUGGGUGUAGCACAGGUGGGAGGCCAGUGCCAAUGUUGUCCUGUUGAACAGUCCUGGAUGGAACGUGGGAGAGAGCCUUGUUGGAAAAACCAGUGGAGGAGAAGUGCAGGCCUUUGUGGGGUGUUGUCAGCUUGUUGUGAACCCUGUGAUGGGACCCACAGGGGGAGUGUCAGAGAGAAGCCUGGUGCAAACCAGCAGUGAAAUACCACUACCUUCACCGUCAUUUUGCUCAUUGAGUGACCUGGGAACUUCUGGCCAAUCUAACGUGCCACCUCUGCAAUCCAUUGUGGGGAUGAGCAUUGGCCAACUUAAGAGAGAGAGAAUCAUGUGGCAAGAGGUGGCCCUGAGCCAACCAACCCUGGACUUUAGAGCCGAUCAGAAGCCUUGAGACAUCAGCCAGAUGGGGAGUUUGGCUGGGGCGGCACGCCUGUUACAUGACAACGCAAGCGUCCUGAAGCAAUGCUCAGAUGGAACAGAAAUCUCACGCAGAGGAGCAGGCCAAAGGUCCUGCUGAUGCCGUGACUUCCAGUGCAAGUCCAAAACGUGCAAGUGUGGCCUACCGAUCCUUUGGUCAAGCUAUGAGUUCUGGAUAUUGAAGCCAGAGGUGUCAGAAAAAUUACCACAGGGAUAACUGGCUUGUGGCGGCCAAGCGUUCAAAGCGACGUUGCUUUUUGAUCCUUCGAUGUCGGCUCUUCCUAGCUUCCCACCCGCAGCCGAGUGGAAGAGUUGGAUUGUUCACCCACCAACAGGGAACGUGAGCUGGGUUUA